AGUGAGCGCUGGCGGUAGGCCUAACACAUGCAAGUCGAACGGCAGCACAGAGGAGCUUGCUCCUUGGGUGGCGAGUGGCGGACGGGUGAGGAAUACAUCGGAAUCUACUCUGUCGUGGGGGAUAACGUAGGGAAACUUACGCUAAUACCGCAUACGACCUACGGGUGAAAGCAGGGGAUCUUCGGACCUUGCGCGAUUGAAUGAGCCGAUGUCGGAUUAGCUAGUUGGCGGGGUAAAGGCCCACCAAGGCGACGAUCCGUAGCUGGUCUGAGAGGAUGAUCAGCCACACUGGAACUGAGACACGGUCCAGACUCCUACGGGAGGCAGCAGUGGGGAAUAUUGGACAAUGGGCGCAAGCCUGAUCCAGCCAUACCGCGUGGGUGAAGAAGGCCUUCGGGUUGUAAAGCCCUUUUGUUGGGAAAGAAGUCCAUCUGGUUAAUACCCGGGUGGGAUGACGGUACCCAAAGAAUAAGCACCGGCUAACUUCGUGCCAGCCGCCGCAGUAA
rnacentral:rRNA from 1 species